rnacentral:tRNA from 1 species
ACUUAAAUAGUUUAAAGAAAAUUUUGACUUGUGGCGUCAAGGAUACAAAUUAUUGUUUUAGGUC